UCCUACGGGAGGCAGCAGUAGGGAAUCUUCCGCAAUGGACGAAAGUCUGACGGAGCAACGCCGCGUGAGUGAUGAAGGCUUUCGGGUCGUAAAACUCUGUUGUUAGAGAAGAACAAGUGCUAGUUGAAUAAGCUGGCACCUUGACGGUACCUAACCAGAAAGCCACGGCUAACUACGUGCCAGCAGCCGCGGUAAUACGUAGGUGGCAAGCGUUAUCCGGAAUUAUUGGGCGUAAAGCGCGCGCAGGUGGUUUCUUAAGUCUGAUGUGAAAGCCCACGGCUCAACCGUGGAGGGUCAUUGGAAACUGGGAGACUUGAGUGCAGAAGAGGAAAGUGGAAUUCCAUGUGUAGCGGUGAAAUGCGUAGAGAUAUGGAGGAACACCAGUGGCGAAGGCGACUUUCUGGUCUGUAACUGACACUGAGGCGCGAAAGCGUGGGGAGCAAACAGGAUUAGAUACCCUGGUAGUCCACGCCGUAAACGAUGAGUGCUAAGUGUUAGAGGGUUUCCGCCCUUUAGUGCUGAAGUUAACGCAUUAAGCACUCCGCCUGGGGAGUACGGCCGCAAGGCUGAAACUCAAAGGAAUUGACGGA
rnacentral:rRNA from 1 species